GCAGUCGAGCGAACAGAUGAGAAGCUUGCUUCUCUGAUGUUAGCGGCGGACGGGUGAGUAACACGUGGGUAACCUACCUAUAAGACUGGGAUAACUCCGGGAAACCGGGGCUAAUACCGGAUAAUAUUUUGAACCGCAUGGUUCAAUAGUGAAAGACGGUUUCGGCUGUCACUUAUAGAUGGACCCGCGCCGUAUUAGCUAGUUGGUAAGGUAACGGCUUACCAAGGCGACGAUACGUAGCCGACCUGAGAGGGUGAUCGGCCACACUGGAACUGAGACACGGUCCAGACUCCUACGGGAGGCAGCAGUAGGGAAUCUUCCGCAAUGGGCGAAAGCCUGACGGAGCAACGCCGCGUGAGUGAUGAAGGUCUUCGGAUCGUAAAACUCUGUUGUUAGGGAAGAACAAAUUUGUUAGUAACUGAACAAGUCUUGACGGUACCUAACCAGAAAGCCACGGCUAACUACGUGCCAGCAGCCGCGGUAAUACGUAGGUGGCAAGCGUUAUCCGGAAUUAUUGGGCGUAAAGCGCGCGUAGGCGGUUUCUUAAGUCUGAUGUGAAAGCCCACGGCUCAACCGUGGAGGGUCAUUGGAAACUGGGAAACUUGAGUGCAGAAGAGGAGAGUGGAAUUCCAUGUGUAGCGGUGAAAUGCGCAGAGAUAUGGAGGAACACCAGUGGCGAAGGCGGCUCUCUGGUCUGUAACUGACGCUGAUGUGCGAAAGCGUGGGGAUCAAACAGGAUUAGAUACCCUGGUAGUCCACGCCGUAAACGAUGAGUGCUAAGUGUUAGGGGGUUUCCGCCCCUUAGUGCUGCAGCUAACGCAUUAAGCACUCCGCCUGGGGAGUACGACCGCAAGGUUGAAACUCAAAGGAAUUGACGGGGACCCGCACAAGCGGUGGAGCAUGUGGUUUAAUUCGAAGCAACGCGAAGAACCUUACCAAAUCUUGACAUCCUUUGACCGCUCUAGAGAUAGAGUCUUCCCCUUCGGGGGACAAAGUGACAGGUGGUGCAUGGUUGUCGUCAGCUCGUGUCGUGAGAUGUUGGGUUAAGUCCCGCAACGAGCGCAACCCUUAAGCUUAGUUGCCAUCAUUAAGUUGGGCACUCUAGGUUGACUGCCGGUGACAAACCGGAGGAAGGUGGGGAUGACGUCAAAUCAUCAUGCCCCUUAUGAUUUGGGCUACACACGUGCUACAAUGGAUAAUACAAAGGGCAGCGAAUCCGCGAGGCCAAGCAAAUCCCAUAAAAUUAUUCUCAGUUCGGAUUGUAGUCUGCAACUCGACUACAUGAAGCUGGAAUCGCUAGUAAUCGUAGAUCAGCAUGCUACGGUGAAUACGUUCCCGGGUCUUGUACACACCGCCCGUCACACCACGAGAGUUUGUAACACCCGAAGCCGGUGGAGUAAC
rnacentral:rRNA from 2 species